rnacentral:rRNA from 1 species
UACGGAGGAUCCGAGCGUUAUCCGGAUUUAUUGGGUUUAAAGGGUGCGUAGGCGGCCUGUUAAGUCAGGGGUGAAAGACGGUAGCUCAACUAUCGCAGUGCCCUUGAUACUGAUGGGCUUGAAUGUACUUGAGGUAGGCGGAAUGUGGCAAGUAGCGGUGAAAUGCAUAGAUAUGCCACAGAACACCGAUUGCGAAGGCAGCUUACUAAGGUAUGAUUGACGCUGAGGCACGAAAGCGUGGGGAUCAAACAGG